CCUACGGGGCGCAGCAGUGAGGAAUAUUGGUCAAUGGGCGGGAGCCUGAACCAGCCAAGCCGCGUGAAGGAAGAAGGCGCCAAGCGUUGUAAACCUCUUUUGUCGGAGAACAAAACCCGGGACGUGUCCCGGACUGCGUGUAUCCGAAGAAAAAGCAUCGGCUAACUCCGUGCCAGCAGCCGCGGUAAUACGGAGGAUGCGAGCGUUAUCCGGAUUUAUUGGGUUUAAAGGGUGCGUAGGCGGUCCGUUAAGUCAGCGGUAAAAUUGCGGGGCUCAACCCCGUCGAGCCGUUGAAACUGGCAGAC
rnacentral:rRNA from 1 species